GUUCCAUGACGAAGGGGACGGGGGAUCCACGGGCCCACGCCCUGGGAAAAGGGAAAAGGGUUUGGUUUCUGCCAGAGGAGCAAGAUCCAAGAAGGGACAUCCACGUUCCCUUGUGGACAUUGAAAAAGAUGUACGGAUCUGUGCAAGAAGGUCAUGAUGGAAGGAUGGUCAACCAGGGCAGCUGCCAUCUCAAUUGCCAUCCCACCAAAAACAAGAGCUAGUGCUGCCACUAGCUCUUUUUCCACCCCCCUUGUCACAGUCUUCCCCAGCUCAUUAAAGAUUCAUUUCAAGAAUUAGCAGUAGCAGCAA